rnacentral:rRNA from 1 species
GACGGGGGGUGCAAGCGUUGUUCGGAAGCACUGGGCGUAAAGCGCGUGUAGGCGGUUUGAUAAGUCGAAUGUGAAAGCCCGAGGCUCAACCUCGGAAGUGCAUUCGAAACUGUCAGGCUUGAGUACGUGAGAGGGAAGUGGAAUUCCUGGUGUAGAGGUGAAAUUCGUAGAUAUCAGGAGGAACACCGGUGGCGAAGGCGGCUUCCUGGCCCGAUACUUACGCUGAGACGCGAAAGCGUGGGGAGCAAACAGG